rnacentral:rRNA from 1 species
GUAGGGAAUAUUGGGCAAUGGUCGGAAGACUGACCCAGCCAUGCCGCGUGCAGGAAGACGGCCCUCUGGGUUGUAAACUGCUUUUAUCUGGGAAGAAAAAGGCCAUGCGUGGCAAAUUGCCGGUACCAGAUGAAUAAGCACCGGCUAACUCCGUGCCAGCAGCCGCGGUAAUACGGAGGGUGCGAGCGUUGUCCGGAUUUAUUGGGUUUAAAGGGUGCGUAGGCGGCUGAUUACGUCAGCGGUGAAAGACUUCGGCUUAACCGGCGCAGUGCCGUUGAUACUGGUUGGCUUGAGUGUCGGAGGGGUACAUGGAAUUGAUGGUGUAGCGGUGAAAUGCAUAGAUACCAUCAGGAACACCGAUAGCGAAGGCAUUGUACUGGCCGACAACUGACGCUGAUGCACGAAAGUGUGGGGAUCGAACAGGAUUAGAUACCCCAGUAGUCC